rnacentral:rRNA from 1 species
CCCUUAGAUGUUCUGGGCUGCACGCGCGCUACACUGAUGCGCUCAACGAGUUUAUGACCUUGCCCGGAAGGGUUGGGUAAUCUUUUCAAAACGCAUCGUGAUGGGGAUAGAUUAUUGCAAUUAUUAAUCUUCAACGAGGAAUUCCUAGUAAGCGCGAGUCAUCAGCUCGUGCUGAUUACGUCCCUGCCCUUUGUACACACCGCCCGUCGCUCCUACCGAUUGAAUGUUCCGGUGAGCUCUUCGGACUGCGCGGUCUGCAGUUUCUGCGUUCCGUGCGGAAAGUUGCGCAAACCUUAACAUUUAGAGGAAGGAGAAGUCGUAACA